GUAGUUAGCCGGGGCUUUCUUACAGGGUACCGUCACUUCUUCGUCCCCUGCGACAGAGGUUUACAAUCCGAAAACCUUCUUCCCUCACGCGGCGUUGCUGGGUCAGGCUUGCGCCCAUUGCCCAAUAUUCCCCACUGCUGCCUCCCGUAGGAGUCUGGACCGUGUCUCAGUUCCAGUGUGGCCGAUCAGCCUCUCAGCUCGGCUACCCAUCGUCGGCUUGGUGGGCUGUUAUCUCACCAACUACCUAAUGGGACGCGAACCCCUCUAAAAGCGAUAAAUCUUUGACCUCUUCCCGAUGCCGGGUUGUGGUCUUAUGCGGUAUUAGCAGUUGUUUCCACCUGUUAUUCCCCACUCUUAGGCAGGUUGUUCACGCGUUACUCACCCGUGCGCCACUAGAAUUAUCAAUUCCAUCCGAAAACUUCCUUAAUAAUCCCCGUUCGACUUGCAUGUGUUAGGCACGCCGCCAGCGUCGUCCUCGAGCCACGAAUACAAACUACUGA
rnacentral:rRNA from 1 species